GCAGGGGUUUGGAUGACACCUGUAAUUGUUGCUAAGCUGUGUGGAAUCCUCUCCAACCUCAAGAUUCCACUUCAGGAGGUCCAGGGUGGUGAUGCCCAUCUGCUACCACACUUGGUAACAUCCAGAGAAGCUCCAUGUGUCCAAAUGUCCUAGCCGCGGACACUCGGUUGGCCGCUUGGCUGGCGAACACUUACAUCUUGGAGCUUCCAGUGCAGCCCCACCUGGAUCCCACCCCUCUAAUCUGAAGACCCCAGUAAUGUCUAAGGAGAGAAAUAAAGACGACUUUUUUUUUUUUUUUAAUCCCUAUCCCAACUGGAAUGGACUGAGAGAAGGAAACCUUGACCCUUGCUGCUCCGUCAGCUGUUGGGAGGCCCCAUGCUCAGGACUGGGAGCAUCGGGGCAGGGCAGUGGCAGCAUUCUUCUCUUCACACCAACUAAAACUUACACCAUCAAAGGCAGUAAUUGCUGGGCACCUGGACUCCUUCUGCCUCAUGACAAAGGAAUGUGCACAGG